GACGAACGCUGGCGGCGUGCUUAACACAUGCAAGUCGAACGGAAAGGCCCUGCUUUUGUGGGGUGCUCGAGUGGCGAACGGGUGAGUAACACGUGAGUAACCUGCCCUUGACUUUGGGAUAACUUCAGGAAACUGGGGCUAAUACCGGAUAGGAGCUCCUGCUGCAUGGUGGGGGUUGGAAAGUUUCGGCGGUUGGGGAUGGACUCGCGGCUGAUCAGCUUGUUGGUGGGGUAGUGGCUUACCAAGGCUUUGACGGGUAGCUGGCCUGAGAGGGUGACCGGCCACAUUGGGACUGAGAUACGGCCCAGACUCCUACGGGAGGCAGCAGUGGGGAAUAUUGCACAAUGGGCGGAAGCCUGAUGCAGCAACGCCGCGUGCGGGAUGACGGCCUUCGGGUUGUAUACCGCUUUCGCCUGUGACGAAGCGUGAGUGACGGUAAUGGGUAAAGAAGCACCGGCUAACUACGUG
rnacentral:rRNA from 1 species